rnacentral:rRNA from 1 species
CCUACGGGCGGCUGCAGUGGGGAAUAUUGCACAAUGGGCGCAAGCCUGAUGCAGCCAUGCCGCGUGUGUGAAGAAGGCCUUCGGGUUGUAAAGCACUUUCAGCGGGGAGGAAGGCGUUAAGGUUAAUAACCUUGGCGAUUGACGUUACCCGCAGAAGAAGCACCGGCUAACUCCGUGCCAGCAGCCGCGGUAAUACGGAGGAUGCAAGCGUUAAUCGGAAUUACUGGGCGUAAAGCGCACGCAGGCGGUCUGUCAAGUCGGAUGUGAAAUCCCCGGGCUCAACCUGGGAACUGCAUUCGAAACUGGCAGGCUAGAGUCUUGUAGAGGGGGGUAGAAUUCCAGGUGUAGCGGUGAAAUGCGUAGAGAUCUGGAGGAAUACCGGUGGCGAAGGCGGCCCCCUGGACAAAGACUGACGCUCAGGUGCGAAAGCGUGGGGAGCAAACAGGAUUAGAUACCCGGGUAGUC